rnacentral:tRNA from 1 species
WAAAACUUAGGAUAUUAAAACCAAGGGCCUUCAAAGCCCUAAAAAAGGGUGC